AUUGAACGCUGGCGGCAGGCCUAACACAUGCAAGUCGAACGAGUGGCGGACGGGUGAGUAAUGUCUGGGAAACUGCCCGAUGGAGGGGGAUAACUACUGGAAACGGUAGCUAAUACCGCAUACCAUCGGAUGUGCCCAGAGGGGAUUAGCUAGUAGGUUGGGUAACGGCUCACCUAGGACACGAUCCCUCUCUGGUCUGAGAGGAUGCCCGGCCACACUGGAACUGAGACAUGGUCCAGACUCCUACGGGAGGCAGCAGUGGGGAAUAUUGCACAAUGGGCGAAAGCCUGAUGCAGCCAUGCCGCGUGUAUGAAGAAGGUCUUCGGGUUGUAAAGUACUUUCAGCGGGGAGGCGUUACCCGCAGAAGAAGCACCGGCGAACUCCGUGCCAGCAGCCGCGGUAAUUC
rnacentral:rRNA from 1 species